rnacentral:tRNA from 1 species
ACUAAUUUGGCAGAAAAUUGCAAAUGAUUUAGAAUCAUUUUAUAUAAGUAAUAACUUUUAUUUAGUA